ACGAACGCUGGCGGCGUGCUUAACCCAUGCACGUCGAACGGUGAAGCUCCAGCUUGCUGGAGUGGAUCAGUGGCGAACGGGUGAGUAACACGUGAGCAACCUGCCCCUGACUCUGGAAUAAGCGCUGGAAACGGCGUCUAAUACUGGAUACGAGAAGGGCCCGCAUGGGCACUUUCUGGAAAGUUUUUCGGUUGGGGAUGGGCUCGCGGCCUAUCAGCUUGUUGGUGAGGUAAUGGCUCACCAAGGCGACGACGGGUAGCCGGCCUGAGAGGGCGACCGGCCACACUGGGACUGAGACACGGCCCAGACUCCUACGGGAGGCAGCAGUGGGGAAUAUUGCACAAUGGGCGAAAGCCUGAUGCAGCGACGCCGCGUGAGGGAUGACGGCCUUCGGGUUGUAAACCUCUUUCAGCAGGGAAGAAGCGAAAGUGACGGUACCUGCAGAAGAAGCACCGGCUAACUACGUG
rnacentral:rRNA from 1 species